rnacentral:rRNA from 1 species
UACGUAGGGUGCGAGCGUUAAUCGGAAUUACUGGGCGUAAAGCGUGCGCAGGCGGCGCGUUAAGACAGGUGUGAAAGCCCCGAGCUUAACUUGGGAAUUGCGCUUGUGACUGGCGUGCUGGAGUGUGGCAGAGGGAGGUGGAAUUCCACGUGUAGCAGUGAAAUGCGUAGAGAUGUGGAGGAACACCGAUGGCGAAGGCAGCCUCCUGGGCCAACACUGACGCUGAGGUGCGAAAGCGUGGGUAGCAAACAGG